AUACGUAGGUGGCAAGCGUUAUCCGGAUUUACUGGGUGUAAAGGGCGUGUAGGCGGUUUUGUAAGUCGGAUGUGAAAUUCCCAGGCUUAACUUGGGAGCUGCAUCCGAAACUACAGAACUUGAGUACUGGAGAGGAUAGUGGAAUUCCUAGUGUAGCGGUAAAAUGCGUAGAUAUUAGGAGGAACAUCAGUGGCGAAGGCGACUAUCUGGACAGUAACUGACGCUGAGGCGCGAAAGCGUGGGGAGCAAACAGGAUUAGAUACCCUGGUAGUCCACGCCGUAAACGAUGGAUACUAGGUGUAGGGGGUAUCGACCCCCCCUGUGCCGGAGUUAACACAAUAAGUAUCCCACCUGGGGAGUACGGCCGCAAGGUUGAA
rnacentral:rRNA from 1 species